rnacentral:lncRNA from 1 species
AUACUUUUUUGGAUGAAUAAUGUGUGGAAAAGGGACAAAAGGAGGAAAGAAAAAUUAAAGAAUACAAAUACAUGCCUUCUUUAAGGGAAUUCAAUCUUUCUCGGGAUCAAUGCCAUGAAUACAAAUUACUACUUCAAUUGGAGUAAGAACUGAACCUUGACCAACUUGAGAUGAUUCCUCUAAUAACAGAUCAUAAAUUAGAAUUAAAAUUAAAAUCAGGAAAUACCAGUGUACCUUUAACUUACUUGUUUAUUAUAUCCUAUUACAACAACAUGAACAUAUAGGUCAAAUGACAAUGAAAAUAACAAAGUUAAUUAGUGGGUAAAAGUUACCUCCAAGGUACGUGUAAGAGCAACCUGGAAUUUAUAUCUGAUGGAAGAUUUCAAGGCUGGUCCAAACAUAUACAGGCCCAGGGCGAAAAGAAAAAAAAAUGGACCCCUCAAAGAAAUAUAAUAAAGAUUCAAAAAAAUAUCAUUUACUCUUCACUAUAGACAUGUUUAAUUUGAAAUAAUAAACAAACCGAAUUCUUUAUCUUUUGAGCUAAUUUGAGUUUGAACCAACUUUAGGCUCUAAAAACCAUUUAGGUAAUAAUUUUUUAAUAUAUAUAUAUAUA